UACGGAGGGUGCAAGCGUUAUCCGGAUUCACUGGGUUUAAAGGGUGCGUAGGUGGGUUGGUAAGUCAGUGGUGAAAUCUCCGGGCUUAACUCGGAACGGUCAAGUGAUACUGUCGUGCUAGAGUACAGAAGGGGCAACUGGAAUUCUCGGUGUAGCGGUGAAAUGCGUAGAUAUCGAGAGGAACACCUGCGGCGAAGGCGGGUUGCUGGGCUGAUACUGACGCUGAUGCGCGAAAGCCAGGGGAGCGAACGGG
rnacentral:rRNA from 1 species